rnacentral:lncRNA from 1 species
AUUUGGAGGAAAGAAAUCUAGUUUGGCUCUAUUGAAAAAAGUGCUGACACAUGACAUAAUACAACUUGCGUGUCGUUUAUACAAUCAAAACAUUCAAGCAUUUACUGGAUAAAUUUUUCCGACACGUGAAUGGAUAAUUAUGAGGAAUAAUUUUUCUACUUAUUUAGUCUUAUUUGCUCAAUUGGCAGCAUUCAGAUGUAUACCCGAGGUGGCAAAGGGCUUGGUGGUUGGUUCCCGAGGUCCCAAGAUCGAAUCCUAGUUGAUUCAUAUUUCCAGCUAAGUUUAUUUAUAAAUAAAAUAAACGAAGCUAUCUCUCAAAAAAAAAAAAAGAAAAAGCAUUCAGAUGUAUACUUCUCUAAUAUAAUAGCAUUAAAUAUUUAUCAUCCCAUGUACACGAGAUCAAGCUCUAAACCGAGGGUCCUAUUUGGUUCAGGGAUAAUGAACAUUGAGAUAAAUUUUUUAUCUUUGGUUUAGCUUACUAUUUCGGAAUAGUCAGAAAUAAAAAUAAAAUUGUGUUUGGUUUGUAAUAUUGCUAUUCUUGAAUAACUGAAAUUGUAUUUGGUUAAUUUUAUAAAAUAGUAGAGGAUAGUGAAAAAUGUGAUAAAUGAAUUUGAUAUAAAAUAUAAUUUAACAAAAAUAAUGUAUUAUAAAAAUAUUAUAUUAUAAUAUUUAAUAAAAACAAUUUUUUACAAAAUUAAUUUUAUUUUUUGCAGUUUUACUUAAACUUAAAUUUAACAAAAAAUAAUUUAUUAUAAUAUUUAAGUAUAAUUUAUUGUAAUAAUUUGUUAUAAUAUUAAAAUAUAAAUAAUAUAUAUUAAUAUAGUACAAUUAAUAAUUAUAUAAAAAUAAUUUAUUAUAAUAAAUAAGAUAUAAUUUCUAUAAAAUUUAGUUUAAUUCAAUUUAUAAUCUUAAUAAAGCUAGAGCUUGGAAUUAACAUUGGAAUAGUACCAUUCCACCAAAAUGGUGGAAUAGUUUAUCCCAAGCUAUUCCAAAAUAAUUGGGAAUAAUAAGGUUCGAUCGGUAUAAAAUAUUUCGGUUAAAAAAACAUCCCGUUUGGUGAAAAUAGCAGGUAUAAUUUUCGUUGUUCC